UGUGAGACUGGUGGGGGCUCAUCUGGAUCACCAGUUUGCUGUCUGGAUAUUUGCUCCUGAUCCUCCCUCCCUCGUGUCUGGUUUCUGGAUCCCAUCCUCAAAGUUGCACAGAUGUAACAGUGCAAAAGCCUUGUGUGGAAGAAAAAUCCAAGGAAUGAAUAAGCUCCUGUGUGAUGAUACCAGUUAUUACCUCCAUUCAUGGUGCCAUGCUCAAAAUGUUCUCUGACAUCAGUCUCCUGCCACAGCCGAUGGAAGCAGCCCUGUUGUGCUGGGCACCUGGGGAGAGCAGCCCAUAACCCAGUGGCUGUCCUGACCUGCUGCAUGACCACAGGCAUUGACAACCAGCAAGAUCUGUCUGUCUGUCAGCACAGCAAUUGCUGCUGUGCCCAGGGCAUUGCUGAGUGUUCUGCAGGCAGCACAGCUGUAUUGCUGUAGACAGGCAAAGCUUGCAACAAAUAAAGUUAAUUGACUAGCAGCCCAGGAGACAGCCUUAUUUUGUGGAUUCUGUUCAAACCUAAUCCUGGGCAACCCUCCUGACUUCCAGUAAAGACUUAUUUUUGUGAUACUUCUUUAAAAU